rnacentral:rRNA from 1 species
UACGUAGGGUGCAAGCGUUGUCCGGAAUUAUUGGGCGUAAAGAGCUCGUAGGCGGUUUGUCACGUCGGAUGUGAAACCCUGAGGCUCAACCUCAGGCCUGCAUUCGAUACGGGCAGACUAGAAUUCGGCAGGGGAGACUGGAAUUCCUGGUGUAGCGGUGAAAUGCGUAGAGAUCAGGAGGAACACCCGUGGCGAAGGCGGCCCCCUGGGUCGGCCCUGACGCUGAGGCGCGAAAGCGUGGGGAGCGAACAGG